rnacentral:rRNA from 1 species
GAUGAACGCUGGCGGCGUGCCUAAUACAUGCAAGUCGAGCGAACGGACGAGAAGCUUGCUUCUCUGAUGUUAGCGGCGGACGGGUGAGUAACACGUGGAUAACCUACCUAUAAGACUGGGAUAACUUCGGGAAACCGGACCUAAUACCGGAUAAUAUUUUGAGCCGCAUGGUUCAAAAGUGAAAGACGGUCUUGCUGUCACUUAUAGAUGGAUCCGCGCUGCAUUAGCUAGUUGGUAAGGUAACGGCUUACCAAGGCAACGAUGCAUAGCCGACCUGAGAGGGUGAUCGGCCACACUGGAACUGAGACACGGUCCAGACUCCUACGGGAGGCAGCAGUAGGGAAUCUUCCGCAAUGGGCGAAAGCCUGACGGAGCAACGCCGCGUGAGUGAUGAAGGUCUUCGGAUCGUAAAACUCUGUUAUUAGGGAAGAACAUAUGUGUAAGUAACUGUGCACAUCUUGACGGUACCUAAUCAGAAAGCCACGGCUAACUACGUG